CUCUGUUUAUCUGUGAAUAUGAUAUACAGGACUUCAACUGAACACCAGGGAUGAAUGCCAAUGACUAUAGAGAUGGCUAUUAUUAGGAGUUUGGCAGUUUUACUCAAAGUUGAAACACUGGCUCUCUGGAAAGUCUGAUUACACCAAAGAUCACCUGGCUGAUUGGCAAUGCUAAGUAGCUCUGUGAUUUUAGGAACUCCUGAGUAUUGAGCUCGUUAUCUGAAAGGAAUCUCUGGACAUUGUUCUCAUAUAAUUUGUGACUUUUAGACUGAAAGCCUUUUCACUCCAGGGUGUUGGUGUUACUUAGAUGUCUUUCCUGUAUUCCAGGGGCCAUGAAGACAGAGGUGGCAAAAAUUCAUGGAUGGAGUCAGUCCUGUGAGUUGUAUUUGAGGACCAUGAUUGGUUGGCAGGAUUAUGACACUCAACUAUCUCAUACUGUGUUUUGUCCAGAGACCUAGGAAAAGCCACUUCAUAUGAGAAAAAAAAGCAGAAAACAACUAGCCAACCAACAAGAACAAAAACAUUCAGAAGAAGAGGAGCAUGACUCAGCCCUGAUUUCGGAAGCUUUUAUUCUGCUGGGCAUUGGCAGCGUCUCAACGGCAUCGGCCUGGGCUCUGAAAAGAUCAUUGUGCGGGGCCUGGCCUCGGGCCCCGGGCGGACAGAGCGCUAGUGUGAGACACCUUGAGCUGCCCCUCUGUGCGCGCGCGGCCAGCCCAAGGCCUGGUGGCCUUCUCCACGGACUGGCCAGCACAGCCACA